rnacentral:lncRNA from 10 species
GCCUCCUUGAGCUGUGGUGGGCUCCACCCAGUUCGAGCUUCCUGGCUGCUUUGUUUACCUAAUCAAGCCUGGGCAAUGGCGGGCGCCCCUCCCCCAGCCUCGCUGCCGCCUUGCACUUUGAUCUCAGACUGCUGUGCUAGCAAUCAGCGAGACUCCGUGGGUGUAGGACCCUCCGAGCCAGGUGCGGGAUAUAAUCUUGUGGUGUGCCAUUUUUUAAGCCCAUCGGAAAAGCGCCGUAUUCGGGUGGGAGUGACCCGAUUUUCCAGGUGCCAUCUGUCACCCUUUUCUUUGACUCAGAAAGGGAACUUGCUGACCCCUUGCGCUUCCCAAGUGAGGCAAUGCCUCGCCCUGCUUCGGCUCACGCACAGUGCGCCCACCCACUGACCUGCGCCCACUGUCUGGCACUCGCUAGUGAGAUGAACCCGGUACCUCAGAUGGAAAUGCAGAAAUCACCCGUCUUCUGCGUCGCUCAGGCUGGGAGCUGUAGACCAGAGCUGUUCCUAUUCGGCCAUCUUCUGGUGCUACAUUUUAAAAGAGAAAGAAAAACUACAUAUACAGUAAGACAUUCUGUGCUGGGAGGAGAGCAGAGGAUCCAGGGAGCAGAUUGCAGGGAGCUUCACUGAAGCAAGAUGACCGUGAUGCUGGAGAAGAGCCCUUGAGAUGGAACAGGGGAAUCCUGGAGGCUACUUCUUGAAGAUGAGGUUAUCACAAGAUGCAGAAGGAGGCUGAAUUCCUGAAUCACUGCUCGAAGGAGAGCUGUCUGUCCUGGAAAAUGAAUGAGGAAAUGAAGCCUCAGUAAGUUCCUCCUCUGAGGUCACACCACCGUUCUGGGCUAAAUUGUGACCUCCAAAUAUUCAUGUUGAAGUCCUUCUAACACCUCAGAAAGUGACUGUUUAGAGAUAGGGUCUUUAAAGAGGUGAUUCAUGUUAAAUUAAGUCAUUAGCUUGGGCUUUAAUCCAAUGACCAG